rnacentral:rRNA from 1 species
GACGAACGCUGGCGGCGUGCUUAACACAUGCAAGUCGAACGGAAAGGCCCUGCUUUUGUGGGGUGCUCGAGUGGCGAACGGGUGAGUAACACGUGAGUAACCUGCCCUUGACUUUGGGAUAACUUCAGGAAACUGGGGCUAAUACCGGAUAGGAGCUCCUGCUGCAUGGUGGGGGUUGGAAAGUUUCGGCGGUUGGGGAUGGACUCGCGGCUUAUCAGCUUGUUGGUGGGGUAGUGGCUUACCAAGGCUUUGACGGGUAGCCGGCCUGAGAGGGUGACCGGCCACAUUGGGACUGAGAUACGGCCCAGACUCCUACGGGAGGCAGCAGUGGGGAAUAUCGCACAAUGGGCGGAAGCCUGAUGCAGCAACGCCGCGUGCGGGAUGACGGCCUUCGGGUUGUAACCCGCUUUCGCCUGUGACGAAGCGUGAGUGACGGUAAUGGGUAAAGAAGCACCGGCUAACUACGUGCCAGCAGCCGCGGUGAUACGUAGGGUGCGAGCGUUGUCCGGAUUUAUUGGGCGUAAAGGGCUCGUAGGUGGUUGAUCGCGUCGGAAGUGUAAUCUUGGGGCUUAACCCUGAGCGUGCUUUCGAUACGGGUUGACUUGAGGAAGGUAGGGGAGAAUGGAAUUCCUGGUGGAGCGGUGGAAUGCGCAGAUAUCAGGAGGAACACCAGUGGCGAAGGCGGUUCUCUGGGCCUUUCCUGACGCUGAGGAGCGAAAGCGUGGGGAGCGAACAGGCUUAGAUACCCUGGUAGUCCACGCUGUAAACGGUGGGUACUAGGUGUGGGGUCCAUUCCACGGGUUCCGUGCCGUAGCUAACGCUUUAAGUACCCCGCCUGGGGAGUACGGCCGCAAGGCUAAAACUCAAAGGAAUUGACGGGGCCCCGCACAAGCGGCGGAGCAUGCGGAUUAAUUCGAUGCAACGCGUAGAACCUUACCUGGGUUUGACAUGGAUCGGGAGCGCUCAGAGAUGGGUGUGCCUCUUUUGGGGUCGGUUCACAGGUGGUGCAUGGCUGUCGUCAGCUCGUGUCGUGAGAUGUUGGGUUAAGUCCCGCAACGAGCGCAACCCUUGUUCACUGUUGCCAGCACGUUAUGGUGGGGACUCAGUGGAGACCGCCGGGGUCAACUCGGAGGAAGGUGGGGAUGACGUCAAGUCAUCAUGCCCCUUAUGUCCAGGGCUUCACGCAUGCUACAAUGGCUGGUACAGAGAGUGGCGAGCCUGUGAGGGUGAGCGAAUCUCGGAAAGCCGGUCUCAGUUCGGAUUGGGGUCUGCAACUCGACCUCAUGAAGUCGGAGUCGCUAGUAAUCGCAGAUCGGCAACGCUGCGGUGAAUACGUUCCCGGG